rnacentral:rRNA from 1 species
AUGCCUAGUGUUGCACCAAGGCCAUCAUACGAUCCAUGGAACAAGUUCAAAUUAUUUGUUGAAACAAGACCAGGGCCAUCUCAGUUCAGCUUUUCCUCUGAAAUCAGCAGCAGCAUGACACAAAUGACCCCAAUAUCACACUGUAUGUCUGGUUACUCUAUUCAGAGCACUGCUGCAUCAACAACUCAAACAAAGUUUACCUCACUCCGUCCAUUGCCCCCUUCGGUGGUCUCUUCUCAUGUUUAUAGUAGUGAAGCUGCACGGCCUCAUGGAUAUACUACAUUCCGUCCACUAGUUCCCCUGCCUUGCGAACCAGGCAAAUGUAAUGCUCCUGGGGAUGUGAUCUUUAUAGACAAGGGUAGCAUGAAACAGGCUCCCAUAGCAUCAAGAUCAAAUACUGAGAUUUUGAAGCAAAUCAGCAAAAGUUUCAAAAGACCAGCAAAAAAGGAUGAUGUGUUAUUGUCAUUACCAAAGAAACCUUGUGUAGCAGGGAAGGACAUAAAUCAAUCUGUCGCCACUCCUGGAAGAAGUCUGUGGAUCCAGACCAGAUGGACAACCCUGAGAUAUUUGCCUGUUCGUCUCAACAAACCUAAAAUAAAACUUCAAGCUGUAGGCAGUGAUGCAAGUACAGUUCGCAUUGGCAGAUUCUGUUAA